CACGUAGGGCGCAAGCGUUGUCCGGAAUUAUUGGGCGUAAAGAGCUCGUAGGCGGUCUGUUGCGUCCGCUGUGAAAACCCGGGGCUUAACCCUGGGCUGGCAGUGGAUACGGACAGACUAGAGGUAGGUAGGGGAGAAUGGAAUUCCCGGUGUAGCGGUGAAAUGCGUAGAUAUCGUAAGGAAGACCAGUGGCGAAGGCGGGUCUCUGGACAGCUCCUGACGCUGAGGCACGAAGGCCAGGGGAGCAAACGGG
rnacentral:rRNA from 1 species